GUGAUCGCACCGGUGGUAUAAGUAUAUCAGUUAGCAGCCCUGAUGGGCAUGUACUCGGGGGUGCUGUUGGUGGUAGGCUCAUUGCAACCAGCCCUGUACAGGUGGUUGUGUGCAGCUUUGUAUAUGGUCCCAAGGUAAAGAGCAAACCAGAAACUAGUACCAAAGGCAGUGAGGAAGAAUCUGCUGAAAAGCCAUCUAUACCGAUUAAGGCUACUCUGAGUCAAGAUCCAACUUCAAAUCCAGCAACUGGCGUUUGGCCUCCGAUUUCAAGGCCUGAACUAAGAAAUUCCCAGCCCGAGAUUGACCUGACACGUGGAUGAUUAUUUAUGAUUUGCUUCAAUGGGCACAUGAAGACAGAGGUUGUAUAUAUGUGCUGUUGUUGUAAAUGAAACGCGGCAGGAGAGAUCAACUCGAGCCAUUUAACUAGCUCUGCCCAUCUAGUAGAAUGAUGGUUUUGGCUAACACACAAUGUAACAAAAGUAUCCUCUUUUUUAGGUUCUUUAAAGUAGCAAAAUGGUGUAGAAGAUGGUGUUGGUGGAAGUUAGAUUGUAAUAUUUCUGUUUUUU
rnacentral:misc_RNA from 1 species